AUUGUUAGACAUUGCAUCUUCUUGUAAUGGAUGAAGCUUCUUCACAGCUACCACUUGACCAGUUGAUAAAGUUGCUUUGUAAACACUUCCAUAUCCUCCCUUCCCAAUGCAAUGCUUUUCAUCAAAGUUUUCAGUGGCUUCAAUGAUAUU